UACGGAGGGUGCAAACGUUGCUCGGAAUCAUUGGGCGUAAAGCGCACGUAGGCGGCUCGUUAAGUCGGAUGUGAAAGCCCUCGGCUCAACCGAGGAAGUGCAUACGAAACUGGCGAGCUUGAAUAUGGAAGAGGGUCGCGGAAUUCCCGGUGUAGAGGUGAAAUUCGUAGAUAUCGGGAGGAACACCUAUUGCGAAGGCAGCUCGCUGGGACGUAACUGACGCUGAGACGCGAAAGCGUGGGGAGCAAACAGG
rnacentral:rRNA from 1 species